rnacentral:rRNA from 1 species
UACGGGGGGAGCAAGCGUUGUUCGGAUUUACUGGGCGUAAAGGGCGCGUAGGCGGCCACCGCAAGUCGGUUGUGAAAUCUCUGGGCUUAACCCAGAAAGGUCAACCGAUACUGCGGGGCUAGAGUGCAGAAGGGGCAACUGGAAUUCUCGGUGUAGCGGUGAAAUGCGUAGAGAUCGGAAGGAACGCCGGUGGCGAAAGCGGCGUGCUGGACCUCUUCUGACGCUGAUGCGCGAAAGCCAGGGGAGCGAACGGG